rnacentral:sRNA from 1 species
CUUUAAAAAUCUGGAUCAAGCUGAAAAUUGAAACGACACACUGUUUCCUUUCUCCGUAAUAAGAAAGGAAAAUGUGGUGUGUUCGAGUCUCUCAAAUUAUUGCAAGUCGAUGGUGAAUCGAAAGAAACAUCUUCGG